rnacentral:ncRNA from 1 species
CAAUUAUUACUUAAUAUACACAUGCAAGUCUCCGCACCCCUGUGAAAACGCCCUUAAAUCCCCACUAGGGAUAAGGAGCUGGUAUCAGGCACAAUACUUAGCCCAAGACACCUAGCUAUGCCACACCCACACGGAAGUUCAGCAGUGAUUAACAUUGAAAAUAAGCGACAGCUUGACUCAGUUAAAGUAAAAAGAGCCGGCAAAUCUGGUGCCAGCCGCCGCGGUUACACCAUGUGGCUCAAAUUGACCCCCUUCGGCGUAAAGCGUGAUUAAAGUUUUUACUAAAUUAUAGCUGAACUAAAACUAAGCUGUGACACGCUUGUAUUUAGGAAAAUCAAAAACGAAAGUUACUGUAAUUAAAACAACUUGAACCCACGACAGUUGAGACACAAACUGGGAUUAGAUACCCCACUAUGCUUAACCGUAAACUUUAAAUUACACCGAUAUCGCCUGGGAACUACGAGCAAAGCUUAAAACCCAAAGGACUUGACGGUACCCCACAUCCCCCUAGAGGAGCCUGUCCUAUAAUCGACAACCCCCGUUCAACCUCACCAUUUUUAGCCCAUCAGCCUGUAUACCUCCGUCGUCAGCUUACCACGUGAGCGACCCUAAGUGAGCCUAAUGCCCACACGCCAACACGUCAGGUCAAGGUGCAGCAAAUAAAAUGGGAAGAGAUGGGCUACACUCUCUACUGUAGAAAAUACGAAAGACUAUUUAUGAAACCUAGUCAGAAGGCGGAUUUAGUAGUAAAAAGAAACAAGAGCGCUCUUUUUAACACGGCACUGGGGUGUGUACACACCGCCCGUCACCCUCUUCAAAGCUAACAGAAAGUCCAUAACACACCUAAGCACGAUAGAAGAGGCAAGUCGUAACAUGGUAAGUAUACCGGAAGGUGUGCUUGGAAACAAAAUAUAGCUUAACCAAAGCAUCUCGCUUACACCGAGAAAAUAUCUGUUAAACCCAGAUUAUUUUGAGCUAAUAAUCUAGCCCCUCCCUAUCAAAUGAAGCCAUUAACUUUAUGAUAUAAACUAAAACAUUUUAUAAAUCUAGUAAAGGCGAUUAAAAAAUUAACAGGAGCAAUAAAAAAGGUACCGCAAGGGAAA